AUUUAUCUUUUCAAAGAACUAGCUUUUGGUUUUAUUGAUUGUCCUUAUUGAUUUUUCUGUUUUAUUAAUCCUGAUUUACAUUUGCUCUCCUCUUUUCAGCUUCCCAAGGUGAAAGUAGAUAGCUGAUUUUACAUCUUCUUUGUUUUCUGAUUAGACAUUGAAUCCUGUAAAUUUGAAUCUAUGCACUGCUUUAGUUAUAUCCCACACACUUUAUGAUGGUGUGUUUCUAUUAUUACCCUUUGAGUUAAAAUGCUUCUAAUUUCCCUGUGAUUUUUUGUCUAAUGGAUUGUUUUAGUGUGUGUUGUUUAAUUUCUAAGUGUUUGGGGCUUUUCUGGGUGUCUUUGAUUUCUAACUGAACUCUAUUAUGAUCAGAAAACAUACUCUCUAAUAUUUCAAUCUCUUGAAAUUUAUCAAGACUUUCCUUAUGGCAAACUGUGUGAGUUUGGAAGGUAUUUAACUCUCCUCAGGCCUCCCUUUCCUUAUCUCUAAAGUGGAAUUGAUCAUAACAGUGCCUGAAUGCUUCUAUUAGGUGAAGUCCUACAUAGAAAGCUCAAAGUCAACACUCAGUAAAUGGUAGCUACUGCAGUUAGAGCCAGACUGGUUAGUAGCUACCAAUUUAAAUGCAGAGCUCCCAGUUGGGGCUGGACCUCUGCGUCUAAAGAAAAUAACAGGCAUGGAACACCUCACCUCGGAGACAAGAGCUUUGUCAUUUCUCAUAGGUAAGGAGCCCCUUGGCCGACCCUGCAGCCCCCAACACAUGCAGCCCCUGUUCUUCCCACCUCUCCAGCUCCUGAGUGUUCCACGGCCCCACCGUUGCCUGUGUUCUUAGAAGUGGGUGCAGGUAACCCAGACAGCAGCAAGCUGGGGAGAGGCCAGGUUGGGUCAGUCUUCAUUCCCAACCCACAGAUGACAGGCAGGAAAGAUGAGUGGUCGCCUCACCAGCCACCGUGGAUGUGAAUGCUCUGGCCACAGGGCAGCAGCGGCGAAGGCACGGAGGGGAGCCCAGCACAGGAGGGCAGGAGGGAAGCGGCUCAGACACCAUGUGAUCAAGGUUCUCUCAUCAACUCACCUCCACUUCUGCAAGGCAUUACCGCCCCCACCUUGAGGCCCUCGGCUUUCCCUUUGCCCACCCACUCUGGGGACCACAGGUUACACUGCAGUGACAAGGAGGGGCUGAAGGGGCAGAAGGGGAAGAGAGGCAGAGCUGACAGGGGUCCCAGCAUCCUUCCGGCCCUCUGUGCACCCCCACUUCUGUCUCAUGUGCCAGGCCCUGGGGCAGCGCUGAGGGUCCAGGUGCUCCCCAUCCAGGGGAGAGGCAGACGCCAGAGCUUCCCUAAAGCUGCGACCUGGGAAGUAUUGAAUCAGGGUGGAGACAGGGCCCUUGAGGCUCAGACGAGGCACCCCUGAGAGUCUGUCUGCUCAGGGAGGAGCCCAGGAGGCUUCUUCCAGGCUGGGAGAGCUCCCCACAGAGGAAGCAGCACUGUGCAGAAGCAGAGAGUAGAGCCUGUGCUGCUCUACCCUGCUCCCUGGCAGUGAUGGCACAUGGGCCCGGGGUGAGACCCAGCCUCACCCUGCAUGGUGCAGACCCCCCAGAAGCCACUCCAGGUGCCAGGCUUCCAGCUCACCCUCCACAGCCAGCAGACUCCCCAGGGGAUGAGGACCCCAAGCCCUGGUGGGACCCACCCCAUGAGGCCCCCCUCACAGGCUACUUCCACCCAUAUGGUGCUGCCUUUGUGCCACGCCAUGCCGGAAACUUCAAGGACAGGAGAGAGGUGCCCCACCAGGACACCAGCUUCUGCUCAGCAGGUCAGUUCUGGAUUCUGCCUUCUGCUUGCAAGACAGGAAGAGUGGCCUUGACUCUGACCUUGCUGAUUGGUGCUUAUCAAACGCUAACAGAAGCUGAUGUUAAGGGACUGACAGCAGCCCGGGCAGCGAGUCCAGUUCUCAGCCUGUGUCUUCGGUGCCCUGCGGGACACUUCUGCCCCAACAGAGCCACCCGCCCCAUCCCAUGCCAGCCGGGUACAUUUGGCCCCCGCUUAGGCCAGGAUGAAGCCACAGACUGCACCCCUUGCCCAGCAGGCAGGGCCUGUACCCAGGCUGGGCUGACACACCCCGACGCAGCGUGCUCACCGGGGUAAGUGCCCGCCAUUUCUCAAUGAUGAGUGUCCCGAUGGGGGCCAGAGCCAUCCCCCUAACACCCUUAGAGAAUCAGUCCCAGGUCAAGGCCAGACUUCUCCCAGCCUCUGACCCUCUCAGGGUUCGGAGAGGGCUGCGCCUUCAGAUCAAAGCUCUGUCUCAGCCAGCCCAGGGCUCCAGGACUUGCCCCCGAGCACCGAGGCCCAGCACUGUCUCAGGUCCAUCCAUGCUCAGGAGGCGUCUAGGGAGCUGUCUUCCUGGCUUUGUCCAUGGAGAAAGUAGCUCAGAGAGGCCAGGUUACCAUGCAGACUCACAGAGCAGGCCAGGGGCACGGCGGGAUCUGGCCAUGACUCUCCAAGAUGCCGGGCUCUGCGUGGUGGGCACCAGGUGCCAACUCCCCUGCUGCUGUAGGUACGUGUGCCCUUCAGGCUCCUCCAGUCCCCACGCUCCCUCCCAUGCCUGCCCUCCUGGGACCUUUAGCAACCGCAAUGACCUCUCCCACCCAUCGCAGUGUGAGGUCUGCCCCGAGGGACUAGCCUGUCCUGGGGGUAAGUGAGGAGGGGGACAGUGGCCUCACCACCUCAGGACCCUGCCUUUGGGUGAAAAACCAGUUCCACCCCGGGACAGGGAGGCCAGGACAAUAGACCCUGACCCAUAGCCCCUUUGUUCCUCACAAAGAGCAUUGCCCACCCCUCCAUGGGGAGCCCAAAGGAUUGGGCAAUUAAAAGCAGCCUGAGUCCCGACCCUGCUGCCUCGGGUACGGUGGCCUUGGAGGUUGUUAAUCCAGAUACCCCCUGCCCCGAGGCAAGGCCCCAGCCCGUGUCUCUGACGCCUGCCAGGGGUUGUGGCUGGAGAGGGGCAGCAGCCCUUCAGGUCUAGUUCAGUACUGUGUUUGCAGGAACCGGGGGCCCAGACUGGCCCCCCAUCCCCUGCUCAGCUGGCCAUUAUUGCCCUCCCGGCACCAAAAAGCCAACCCAGUUCCAGUGUCCUCCCGGCAUCUGGAGUAACCAGACUGGAUUGACCAUGAGCGAGGAGUGUAUGCCCUGCCCCAGGGGCUGGUUCUGUGUCAGUGGAGCUCAGGUGCCCUCAGGGACAUGCAGGGCCGGGCAUUACUGCCCAUGAGGGGCGAAGUGGAGGACACAGUUCCCCUGCCCAGCAGGCACCUGCAGCUCCCAGGCAGGCAACGGCCAGCUCGAGGACUGUCUGCCCUACCCCCCGGGGCCUUCUGCCCCAGUGGGGUCCCUGAGCCGGAGCUCUGCCAACGAGGAACGUACUGCCAAGGUCCAGCAGCCAAGCUGGCUGUGGCCUGUGUGCCUCGCCCUGCCAGUCACCACUGCCCUGAGAGAGGCACCACCACGCCACGACCAUGCAGCACUGGCAGCUUCUCUGGUCCAGGUCAUCUCUGGUGCCAGGAGUGCUCAGGAGGAAAACUCUGCAACCAGACAAAGCUGCUUGGCCCUGGGCCAUGACGUGUCGCCCUGGGCACUACUGCCCAGCCCAGGGCCUGCUAUCCAUCCCCUGCCCCAUGGUGAGCCUCUCC